rnacentral:rRNA from 1 species
AUUGAACGCUGGCGGCAGGCCUAACACAUGCAAGUCGAACGAGUGGCGGACGGGUGAGUAAUGUCCGGGAAACUGCCUGAUGGAGGGGGAUAACUACUGGAAACGGUAGCUAAUACCGCAUACCAUCGGAUGUGCCCAGAUGGGAUUAGCGAGUAGGUGGGGUAAAGGCUCACCUAGGCGACGAUCCCUAGCUGGUCUGAGAGGAUGACCAGCAACACUGCGAAUGGGACACGGUCCAGAAUCCUACGGUAGGCAGCAGUGGGUAAUAUUGCACAAGGGGCGCAAGCCUGAUGCAGCCAUGCCGCGUGUAUGAAGAAGGCCUUCGGGUUGUAAAGUACUUUCAGCGGGGAGGCGUUACCCGCAGAAGAGGCCCCGGCUAACUCCGUGCCAGCGGCCGCGGUAAUAG